AACAAGCAAGAUGUUUUCCACUCAGCGACUACAAUCACGCUAACGUUAUUUCCCCAACAAUUUAAAUUCUUGCAUGGAUUCUGUGGCUCAUAUACAGUGACGGCUAAUUUAAAACACCAGCAAGGUAAGGUACACUGACCUCUGUGUUUGGAAGUUUUCGUUUUUCGUUUUGUUAGUCAGAGUACUGUAGUGUAGUGCUAAUUCCCUGAGCACGCCGUUCCUUUGCACGUGCUGCUGUAGCCUACUCAAGCAUGCGAUGGUCAAAGCAAGUGUUACUACACAGAAAAGCAGACCCAUAGCAUUACAGUAGAUGUGAGAACCUUGCUUUGGAGAGUAUUGCAAAACACUACAACAAAGCUGCUGAUGAGGACAAGAACCCAGCAGCAGCAAACCACUCGUUAUGCCAUUGCUGUCAGCCAAGAAAACAAAGCAUCCUAGCGCCUCCUAUGCAUGGAUGUGAAGACUAACACAUUUAAUGAACACUGUAAUUUAAAAUACAGCAUGUGUUUGUGUGUGACAAAUCCACUGCCCGCUGAUCACACAUCUUACAUCCUGCCACAUGGUGAGGAUUUGCCAGC
rnacentral:lncRNA from 1 species